rnacentral:rRNA from 1 species
AUAAGCGGAGGAAAAGAAACCAACAGGGAUUGCCCUAGUAACGGCGAGUGAAGCGGCAACAGCUCAAAUUUGAAAUCUGGCCCUCGGGUCCGAAUUGUAAUUUGUAGAGGAUGCUUUUGGUGCGGUGCCUUCCGAGUUCCCUGGAACGGGACGCCAUAGAGGGUGAGAGCCCCGUCUGGUUGGACACCAAGCCUCUGUAAAGCUCCUUCGACGAGUCGAGUAGUUUGGGAAUGCUGCUCUAAAUGGGAGGUAUAUGUCUUCUAAAGCUAAAUACUGGCCAGAGACCGAUAGCGCACAAGUAGAGUGAUCGAAAGAUGAAAAGCACUUUGAAAAGAGAGUUAAAAAGCACGUGAAAUUGUUGAAAGGGAAGCGUUUAUGACCAGACUUGGACUUGGUUGAUCAUCCGGCGUUCUCGCCGGUGCACUCUUCCAGUUCAGGCCAGCAUCAGUUCGCUGCGGGGGAUAAAGGCUUCGGGAAUGUGGCUCCCUCCGGGGAGUGUUAUAGCCCGUUGCGUAAUACCCUGUGGUGGACUGAGGUUCGCGCAUCUGCAAGGAUGCUGGCGUAAUGGUCAUCAACGACCCGUCUUGAAACACGGACCAAGGAGUCGUCUUCGUAUGCGAGUGUUCGGGUGUCAAACCCCUACGCGUAAUGAAAGUGAACGCAGGUGAGAGCUUCGGCGCAUCAUCGACCGAUCCUGAUGUUCUCGGAUGGAUUUGAGUAAGAGCAUACGGGGCCGGACCCGAAAGAAGGUGAACUAUGCCUGUAUAGGGUGAAGCCAGAGGAAACUCUGGUGGAGGCUCGCAGCGGUUCUGACGUGCAAAUCGAUCGUCAAAUAUGGGCAUGGGGGCGAAAGACUAAUCGAACCNUCUAGUAGCUGGUUUCC